AAGACUAUACUUUCAGGGAUCAUUUCUAUAGUCUCUAACUAGGAAAUAUGAUUUGAAAGUGUUACGUCUCUCUAAUCACGAUGACGAGGUCUGAUGUGCUUUUCUGAGCGUGAAUCGGGUUGAAACUAAUGAUUCGUUCAUGAGUUUAAAUCAUUGAUGAACGUUCUUCAUUUCUUAGGAAAUGUGAGAAGAAAAGUACAUGAUCAGAGUGAU